rnacentral:piRNA from 1 species
CCUGAGCGUAUCUGUACAAGCAGUCA